AAAUUCCUAGCAGGCAAUAAAAAUUAUGACUAUUUUGUAAAAUGAUAGCCAUAAUCAGCCACCAUCAUGAAAAUCACAAAGCUUUUGCCAAAAAAACAUAGAUUGGAAUGAUUUUAAAUCAUCACCCUCACUGCUAACACAGGAUGAGAAUAUUUUGGGAACUCCAUCUGCAGUUCUAUCCAUAUUUUUACUGUCAUUGUGCAGCUUUUGAGUUGCGGCACCAUCCUUCUGGUUAUUCUUAACAGCAGAUCGAUGUCGUUGAUGGGACCAAACGCACCCAAAAUUACCUCCUCCUAAAUACUGGAGUUGUACAUAUGAUAUAGAUAUUAGAAAGUUGGAAAACUUUUUAUUUCACCAAAGGCAUAUCACAGUUUGUCAACUCUGCACGAAGAUCUCCUAUGGCGUCAUUAUUAUUUGAAAAGUGAAAGAAACAUUUGAUUACUAAGUCCUAAUAUAUAUAUAUAUAUAUAUAUAUAUAUAUAUAUAUAUAUAUGUAUGUAUGUAUGUACUAGACAUGAUGAAUUUUGACAAGAACAGAAUAAUAGAGUGGAAAAGGAAGGAACGAACCGGUAUAUAUUUUGUGCAUGCGAGUAGCAGUGUAUUCGUCGGUAAAGGAGGGUAGAGUAAUGUUGUUUGAAAUAAGAGCCUCUUUGUCGACAUUUGAAGAAUUAAAAUUGAAGGUGCUACCUUGGAAAAGCUAAACCCAGAAGGCACGGGACAGCUGUCAAGGUGCCACCAUACUGAUACCUCGGGAGGGGAGAAGAAGAAGAUGAUGAGAACCCACGCACUUUAAACCUAGUAAAAACCUUGCGAGAAAACAUUGUCGAGGAGGAGAAAGGAAAUGAGCAAUAUGGAACGAAUAUCUAGCUGUGAGUCUUGUUCGGAUUCGGCGGCCAUGGCAAGGGGGAGAUGAUGAAAUUGCAAUGAGGACCACAUGCCACACUAUGACUGGCUAUUUCAUGUACAAUAGUUAAAAUUAUAAAUCACCAAUUUCUCCUCAUGCCUGCGACGGCGAUGGCGUCGGCGCUACCUCUUCAUGCAGCGGCCAGCCAGAAGUGCUCACGCGGUGAUGGCGUCACACUGCCUUCUCUUGUCACUGUUUUUUACUCAAUUCUCUCUGCUAACUGGUUUAUCUAUGUACUUUGUUUUGACCUUUUUCACAAUUUGCUGCUAUGAAUAUGGUUCACAAAUUACGGUUCUUCACCAUGAAUAUGGAUAAUUUCAAACAAGGACAUUGAUAACCUUAUAGCUCAAUUCACUCAGGUUACAUGGUCAGCAAUGGUUCUUUAUCACACAGACUGGGUGGCCUGUAUUGCAUGUACUGUCUUUACGAGACUCAACCAUUCAAACCUCCUUUUAAGGUCUAUAUAUCCCUUGGUAUGGCAAUUUUUUAGUUGAAUCAUAAGUGUCAUACAAUUAUUCUUGUUGGAAGGAAUGAAUUAUUUGAUUUGCUCAUAACAUAAGCUGUAUAAGGCUACACAUGUAUGUUUCUAUUUUUUGUUUGUGGUUUCAUAGGUUCAUUAAUUUUAUCCCUAUUUGAAUCAACAUGUUUUGUAAAAUGAAAAUAUGCCGGCAUUCGUGUA